rnacentral:lncRNA from 1 species
UGCCAUUUUAUUGUGAUAAUAAUAGUAUAGUCAUCCAAACUAAGGAAUCAAUAUCUCACCAUAGAUCGAAGCACAUGCUCAGAUGUUUCCAAUUUGUUCGAGAGAUUAUCGGGAGAUAAGAUGUUGUAUUAGAAUGAGUCAAAAUUAAGAAUAAUAUAGCAAACCCAUUUACUAAGGCCUUACCAUAAUAACUAUUUGAUCGCCAUCUCGAUUGCAUGGAUUUGAGACAUAAAGGUGAUUAGUUUUAGUGCAAGUGAAAGAUUGAAAG